UUCAUACUCCCUCAUCCGAAAAUACCUGUCAUCAAAAUAGAUAAAAAAAGAUGUAUCUAGAACUAAAAUUUGUCUAGAUGCAUCCCCUUUUAUCCAUUUUGAUGACAAGUAUUUCUGGACAGAGGGAGAACAUC
rfam:Triticum aestivum genome assembly, contig: Triticum_aestivum_CS42_TGACv1_scaffold_407445_5BL